AGCGAACGUUUGCGGCGGGCUUAACACAUGCAAGUCGAACGGGCUGUUCCUUCGGGGGCAGUCAGUGGCGCACGGGUGCGUAACACGUAGGUAAUCAACCCUCUGGUUGGGGAUAACACUUCGGAAAGGAGUGCUAAUACCCGGUAUGGCGCAGCGGUCUUCGGAUCGCGGCGAGAAAGACCCGCAAGGGUUGCCAGAGGGACGAGCCUGCGGCCCAUCAGCUAGUUGGCGAGGUAACGGCUCACCAAGGCGAAGACGGGUAGCUGGUCUGAGAGGAUGAUCAGCCACACUGGAACUGAGACACGGUCCAGACUCCUACGGGAGGCAGCAGUGGGGAAUAUUGCGCAAUGGGCGAAAGCCUGACGCAGCCACGCCGCGUGAGCGAUGAAGGCCUU
rnacentral:rRNA from 1 species